rnacentral:lncRNA from 1 species
UAAGUCUUGGAAUUCAGCAGGCUUUCAGUAAAAUUCAGAAAUACUUAUUCUUUCAUGUCACCCCUCACAGAUUAUACCUAAAUCCCACUGGAGAAUUCUGAUUAUACUUCAAGAGAGCCCUUGGACUUUUUUUAGGGUGGACUUAACCUGUAACAGGAUGCUAUAAAAGGACAGCGUUCCCAUAGUGAUGAGGAUGAUAUCAUCAAGACUGGUUCCAGCAGUGAGUACCAACCCAUUGCUCACCACAGGAAUGGAUGGGAUAAGAGAUAACAGCAUUUUCUGUUCAAAUACCGAGAACUCAAAGAUUAGCCAGGCUAACAAGCCAGGAAUUUUCACUAAACGCUUAAGCAAAACCACUCAGAUGAAUAAACCUCAAAGACUUAAGUCAAAGAGCCUCAUUAGGAGAUGAAUAGCAAAUGCUGUGUUCCAAAGGUUAAACACUUUUAAGCCAAGAGGAAGCAACAAGGCAUAAAGCGAGCAGAGUAUGGUUUGCUACUCAGAUGUGAUGCAGAGUCCAGUGCCACAGCCUCCACUGAGGGGGCUGCAUUCACACAAUGUUGGGACCUAGAGACACACUUAAAAGGCCAAUUGUGGGACGUUCCUAAUGGUCCAGUGGUUAAGAAACCACCUGUUAAUGCCUGGUCUGGGAAGAUCCCAUGUGCUACAGGGCAACUUGUACCUCAACUUCUGAAGCCCGCACACCCUAGACUUCAUGCUCUGCAACAAGAGAAGCCACUGCAAUGAGAAGCCUGUGUCCCACACCUGCAGAGUACCCUCGUCUGCCCUACAACAAGACCCAGCACAGCUAAAAGAGAAGCCAAUUGCUGUUGUUGUUUUUAAUUUCAAAUGCCAAUGCAAGUCCUUUCAUUUUUUCAAUGAAACCAUUUGGAAUUUAGGCUAACUGACUGUGAAUUUAUAGUAUCAUACCAUUUUAAGGUGGUCUUGCCAUUGCUAUGUUCAAAUGAAAUAAUGGAUAGACCUUGAGUAGAGUGGGAGAUGAGGACAAUCACUUUCCUUGUUCUCAAUCCUGACUUCUGCAUUCCCAGUGCUCAAGGUACAAUUCUUUAGGCUUCAAUUUAUAGGAUACUUUGAUGAGCUGAGAGGGUUUAAAGAAGACACUCAAAAAUGCAUCAGUUCAGUUCAGUUCAGUUCAGUCGCUCAGUCGUGUCUGACUCUUUGCGACCCCAUGAAUUGCAGCACGCCAGGCCUCCCUGUCCAUCACCAACUCCCAGAGUUCACUCAAAC